AAAUAGUACAUUUUACAACUAGUGUGAAAAGAAUGUCUCUUUCAGCUCGUGGCAAGAUACCUCGGUACUAGUGGUAAAAAGACAUUCUAUUUCACACUAGUUGUAAACGACGUUUUUUAAUAUAGUUGCGAAAAAAUAAUAAAUUAAUAUAUCAUUGCGAUAAAAUAUGCUUGCUUCGAAGUUAUUUUUGAACGAACCCAUACUUUACAAAUGACACUGACAGUGACAACAUACUAUUGGAAUCAGCGCCAUCGGCCUCGAGUUGAGAAACUAAAUUGAAUGCAGAUAAUUAAUUAUAAUACUGAAACGACAUUAAUUAGAACCUUUAACAUUAUCAAAACAGAAGUACAAGACAUUACAGUAUCAACAAACAGAAACAGAUCAUGCAACAAGAGUUUUAGUGCCAAAUUUGUGAUCUGCGACAUGUGACCAAGGACACGUUUACAACUAAAAUAUCAUGAAUUGUUUGAAUAUUUGAAGACUUUCAAGGAUAAUUAGAGGUCCCUAACAAAUUGGCGGAAGGAUAAUAUUCACUCAAAGCGGCUCCUAGGAAGUCAACCAGUCAAUUACUAAGGACCGUGCCAGAAUGAUAGUGGACAACUGGAAAGGUGCAUUUUUUUAAUUCUGAGUAAUAUAUAAAAAUAAAACAUAAAAUAAACCAAACUUUAACAUCCUCUUAAUAAACUAUUUUUAGGAAUUCA